UGGCCUAAGAUGACUGGAACCUCGUAUCAAGCGUAGCUGUUUUCCCUCAAAAAAAGUGUAGCUGUGGCGACCUAAACAUUGCAAUUAUACUAGCUGAUUCUCAGUCGUAAUCAAUCAAGCCCGUGCCUUGAAUUGAAUAACUGCUCAUCAUAUCAUCCUAGUAGCCACAACCACGAGAUCCGGAGGCAAAAGUCAACAGGCGUUACUGUCCGAGUCUCACGUAGCACUACAGCACACAUGUAACAGAACAGUUGGCCA
rnacentral:lncRNA from 1 species